rnacentral:tRNA from 1 species
GCCUGGGUGGCUCAGUAGGUUGAGCAUCUGACUUUGGCUCAGGUCAUGAUCUCUCAGUUCGUUAGUUCGAGUCCCAUGUCGGGCU